GGGUUGUGAGGUUAAGCGACUAAGCGUACACGGUGGAUGCCCUGGCAGUCAGAGGCGAUGAAGGGCGUGCUAAUCUGCGAUAAGCGCCGGUAAGGUGAUAUGAACCGUUAUAACCGGCGAUACCCGAAUGGGGAAACCCAGUGUGAUUCGUCACACUAUCAUUAACUGAAUCCAUAGGUUAAUGAGGCGAACCGGGGGAACUGAAACAUCUAAGUACCCCGAGGAAAAGAAAUCAACCGAGAUUCCCCCAGUAGCGGCGAGCGAACGGGGAGGAGCCCAGAGCCUGAAUCAGCAUGUGUGUUAGUGGAAGCGUCUGGAAAGUCGCGCGAUACAGGGUGACAGCCCC
rnacentral:rRNA from 3 species